GUGAAAGAAUGUUCUAAACCUACAGAAAAAGCAACAAAGAAGCUGAAAGUGAAGAAGGAAAGGAAAACCAGUAAGCCCAGGAAUAACACCAGGCGGCGAGCCCAGAACAUUUUGGACAUUUGUAAAAUAUGUUAGAAACCUCUGAAGGGACAUGGAUGAAUCUGGAGAACAUCAUUCUCAGCAAACUGACACAAGAAGAGAAAAUGAAAUACCACAUAUUCUCACUCAUAGAUUGUUCCUGAAUUACGGUUCCAUGGUCAUGCUGUAUUGCUCACUGGAAGUUUCUAUAGUUCUUGCUGACUUUCCAGAUGUAGCUUCCAUGAACACUCCUGAUUACCAUGGUGCUGGCAGCAUGAAAGUGUGAGCCUAGAGAUCACUGCAAAAUCAAUGUGCCCGGAGCUUCAGGCAACACAAAGCCGUGUGGAGUGAAGGAGACACGAUGUUCAAAACUUACAAAGCCAGGAACUGGUCUUUGAAAAUUCUUCCAAAUCUUAGAGUUCACAGAUGAAAGACAUUUGAUAGCGUUAUUUCCCAAGUUUCAUCAUAGUCCUAAGAAUGUCUAUGAAAUCACGAAUAACAAAUUGAGAAACUUGAUGCAACUUUUCUAAACUAUCAGUAACAAAAUGACAGAUUAUAAUCCAUCAUACUAGAGAAAAGACUGCAUUAUCUUGUUAUUCUCAACACAGAAAACGUAACAGAACAUGUCAAAUGAGGAGGCAAUCAGAGAAUUAACAGCAGUUUAUAUAGAGCCAUAACUAUAGAGCCAAAAAAAUCACAGAAAUGCAUCAAGCAAUUUUCUAAAUAUUAAUUUUAUGUUUUGUUAUCCUUGCAGAAUUUGUCAGAAUUAUGAAUUUUAUAAUCUGUUGUGAUUUAUUUUUAUGUUCUAAAUAAAUAUUCAAUCACUACAUUCA
rnacentral:lncRNA from 13 species